rnacentral:tRNA from 1 species
GGUCGAUUAGAUCAGUUGGUUAGAUCGUUGUGCUAAUACCCUGUGGUCAAACACUAUGGAAAACACAAAGGUCAUGAGUUCAAGCCUCAUAUUGACCA